GAGCUUCCACAGAAAUCUUGCAGAUGUGGUUCAAGUCUUCCAGCAACACCACCUCACUCUGCUUUGCACAAUCACUCCACCUCCCCACAUCUUGGGGAGAUUCUCCUGGGGAUUCACACUCUUCCUACUUGCAGCUGUGCCACAGGAAACAUCCUCCGCCAGGUCUUCUCUCACAGUGUGGCCUCUGCCCACAGAUUAUCCACCUGUAGACCUGGACGGGACCCUCGAGGCUCCCUACUCUGACCAUCUGGUUUUAUAGCUGAGGAACCAGAAGCCGAGGCAGGGUCUUGACGGUGAAGAGCAGGCUGUUUCCAUCUUCAGGACAGAAGGCACCUGUGCAUAGGAAGAGGGUCGAGAGGCUCAUCUGGAAUCCCUCCUCACUCACUGCAUGGACAACCUGAUCCUGUUCUCAUCAUUGGUUCUGAAUCCAUCAGCCCAGCAAGACAGGUCUCUCCAGCAAGUUCUGUAAAAUACAACCAUAGCCGGGCCUGGAGUCAGCCCCCGAUAAAGGGUUCAUCAUG
rnacentral:antisense_RNA from 1 species